rnacentral:snRNA from 1 species
AUAAUUACUCGGCAGAGGAGGCACCCUGAGCACGAAGGAGACUUUCGUAGGAUGAGGUUCAGCUGUUGCACUUCGGCUGUGCUGACCUCUGCGAUUUCCCCCCAAUACGGCGGAUAGUGGGGGACUGCAUGGGC